GAUGAACGCUGGCGGCGUGCUUAACACAUGCAAGUCGAACGAGAAGUGAAGACGGAAACCUUCGGGCGGAAGGCUUUAUUUCGAGUGGCGGAUGGGUGAGUAACGCGUGGGUAACCUGCCUCAUACAGGGGGAUAACAGUUGGAAACGACUGUUAAUACCGCAUAAGACCACAGCACCGCAUGGUGCGGGGGUAAAAACUCCGGUGGUAUGAGAUGGACCCGCGUUCGAUUAGCCAGUUGGCGGGGUAACGGCCCACCAAAGCGACGAUCGAUAGCCGAUCUGAGAGGAUGACCGGCCACAUUGGGACUGAGACACGGCCCAAACUCCUACGGGAGGCAGCAGUGGGGAAUAUUGCACAAUGGGGGAAACCCUGAUGCAGCGACGCCGCGUGAGUGAAGAAGUAUUUCGGUAUGUAAAGCUCUAUCAGCAGGGAAGAAAAUGACGGUACCUGAGUAAGAAGCCCCGGCUAACUACGUG
rnacentral:rRNA from 1 species